CUGAAUAACUUUGCUGAUCACACGGUCCUAGCACCGGUGACAUAUCUUUCAAGUGUCUGCCCUAUCAACUUUCGAUGGUAGUUUAUGUGCCUACCAUGGUUGUAACGGGUAACGGAGAAUAAGGGUUCGACUCCGGAGAGGGAGCCUGAGAAAUGGCUACCACAUCCAAGGAAGGCAGCAGGCGCGCAAAUUACCCACUCUCAGUACGAGGAGGUAGUGACGAAAAAUAACGAGACGGUUCUCUAUGAGGCCCGUCAUCGGAAUGGGUACAAUUUAAACCCUUUAACGAGGAUCUAUUGGAGGGCAAGUCUGGUGCCAGCAGCCGCGGUAAUUCCAGCUCCAAUAGCAUAUACCAAUUCUGUUGCUGUUAAAAA
rnacentral:rRNA from 1 species